GACGAACGCUGGCGGCAUGCCUAAUACAUGCAAGUCGAGCGAACAGAUGAAGUGCUUGCACUUCUGACGUUAGCGGCGAACGGGUGAGUAACACGUAAGGAAUCUACCUAUAAGCGGGGGAUAACAUUCGGAAACGGGUGCUAAUACCGCAUAAUAUCUUCUUCCGCAUGGAAGAAGAUUGAAAGACGGCUCUGCUGUCACUUAUAGAUGACCUUGCGGUGCAUUAGUUAGUUGGUGGGGUAACGGCCUACCAAGACGAUGAUGCAUAGCCGACCUGGGAGGGUGAUCGGCCACAUUGGGACUGGGACACGGCCCAAACUCCUACGGGAGGCAGCAGUAGGGAAUCUUCCGCAAUGGGCGAAAGCCUGACGGAGCAAUGCCGCGUGAGCGAAGAAGGCCUUCGGGUCGUAAAACUCUGUUAUAAGAGAAGAACAAAUUGUAGAGUAACUGCUACAGUCUUGACGGUAUCUUAUCAGAAAGCCACGGCUAACUACGUGCCAGCCGCCGCCGUAA
rnacentral:rRNA from 1 species